UACGGAGGAUGCGAGCGUUAUCCGGAUUUAUUGGGUUUAAAGGGUGCGUAGGCGGGUUAUCAAGUCAGCGGUAAAACCGUGGAGCUCAACUCCAUCCAGCCGUUGAAACUGAUGAUCUUGAGUGGGCGAGAAGUAUGCGGAAUGCGUGGUGUAGCGGUGAAAUGCAUAGAUAUCACGCAGAACUCCGAUUGCGAAGGCAGCAUACCGGCGCCCGACUGACGCUGAAGCACGAAAGCGUGGGUAUCGAACAGG
rnacentral:rRNA from 1 species